rnacentral:rRNA from 1 species
UACGUAGGGUGCAAGCGUUGUCCGGAAUUAUUGGGCGUAAAGAGCUCGUAGGCGGUCUGUCACGUCGGCUGUGAAAUCCCGAGGCUCAACCUCGGGUCUGCAGUCGAUACGGGCAAACUAGAGUAUUGCAGGGGAGACUGGAAUUCCUGGUGUAGCGGUGAAAUGCGCAGAUAUCAGGAGGAACACCGGUGGCGAAGGCGGGUCUCUGGGCAAUAACUGACGCUGAGGUGCGAAAGCGUGGGGAGCAAACAGG